UUGCAUUAAUGACAUAAUCAUACUGCUUUUGUAGUUCAAACUAAAUGUUGCAGUUCAUAUUCAAUUUCACCAAUCAGAGACAAGCUUUUCAAAUCCACAGGUAAUUGUCCAAUCGCAUGCUGGCAUAUAAAGUAUAUGAAAUAAACGACCUCUCAUAGACCCUUUUAGUGCCGAGGGCGUGAUGACGUCACGGCGCCAGCAGGAGGCGGCCUAUACAAACCAGCACAGGGAAAAGAUUCAAACCAGCACAGAGUCGAUUCAAACCAGCACAGAGUCGAUUUAAACCAGCACAGAGUCGAUUCACUAAGAACACAAACAUCAUCUUGUGCUGGAGUACAGGAUCUCAUUUUAAAUAUUAUCUCAUACCUGCUGCCAGAAGAACAAAAACCAUGACACAAAGAGCACAAUUCAUAUCAGAUGUGUACAAAGACUUAAUUGUAAAAAUGGGAUGCUUUUUAAGAGAGGAGAAGACAUCUGGAAGACCAGGACACAGCAAGGAAAAAACCUAUUGAGGCUGUCACAAGUACCUCAAAAUCUCAACCACAACCGCAAGUAUCUCAAAAUGCAGCGGAAGUUGCAACGGGAGAACUUUUUUUUUUUUUUUUUUUGCCUUUCAAGCUCUUCAGUUUGGAUGGGGAUCGUCAGUGCACAGCAAUUUUUUAGAUCUCUCCAGAUGUUCAAUCAGGUUCAAGUCUGGGGUCUGGCUGGGCCACUCGAGGACAUUCACAGAGCAACUCCUUUGUUAUCUUGGCUCUGUGCUCAGGGUCGUUGUUCUGUUGGAAGAAAAACCGUCGUCCCAGAGGUCGAGAGCACAGGUUUUCAUCAAGGAUAUCUCGGUACAUUGCUGAAAUCAUCUUUCUCGAUCCUGACCAGUCUCCCAGUUUAACAUUCCCACAGCAUGAUGCUGCCACCACCAUGCUUCACUGCUGUGCUGGAUAGUGACAGUGAACAAGAAGAUAAUGAUAGAAGAACAGAAUUUGAGAACAGCCUGCUGCAGGGGACGUCUCCCCAGAAAACUCAUGUAGUGCUUGAUGAUGAUGUUGUCAAAGCUUUGAAAGAUGUCAUUUUGACUUUCGUGAUGGGAGACAAAAAUAUUGAACUGAAGCUGAUAUGAGGCCUCACGUAAACGCACAGAGAAACUGGUAACCUAAAAAGAUGAUAGGAGGGCUUCACCAGUGUGGAUGAUUGUCCUGAUAGUGAUGCUGGUGCUGCUGCUGGUUGGUGCAGUGGGUGUAAUAAUCUAUCAGAGGAAGCGAAUUCAGUUCCUCCAAAGGAACCCUGACCAACUGAGAACCUCAUGAAACUACAGAAUGGUCUACACAAGCAGAACAAAUCAUCUUCUGAAAAUGUUCACAGCAUGAAACAGUGUGAGAAAGAGACUCAUAGAUAAUUAAUCUGUCCUCUCUCUCUCUCUCUCUCUCUCUCUCUCUCUCUCUCCCUUUAAUAUUGUAGAAAUGGUGAUGAAAUGGUAAAAGUCAAGUCAAGUUUACUUCUAUAGCGAUUUUCACAAUGGUCAUUGUCUCAAAGCAGCUUUACAGAAUUUUACAGUGAAGGUGAAUGGUGUGUGUUUAUCCCUGAUGAUGAAGACUGGUGGCGACUGUGGUGAAGGAAAAACUCCCUUAGAUGUUAUGAGGAAGAAACAUAACAUCUUGCGCUGGUACGUCUCUAGAUGGUUCUGGAUGUUCGGGAUGUUAUUAAUAAAUAAAUAAUAAAUUUAGCUGGAAAUCUUCAUUGUGUUUUGCCAUAUCCUAACGUACAUCACAAAUCAGAGGAAUAUCUUUCAAAUUUCACAAUAUGAUAUUUUCAUCAUAUUUCCCACCUGCUUAUUUUUGUGCUAUAAAUAUCAGCUAUUUGCAAAUAAACACAACAGUAUUUGUAUGUUUUUAUUUAGGGAGAUGUUUUUGCUGUUUAAGGCUGUUUACAAAAACAUCAGAAAAUAUUUAAAUCAUUUAACCUGUAAUAAAAAGGCUCUUUAUUAUUAUAUCUUUAUUAAAAUGCAGAUUAAAGUCUGCACCCGUUUCAUUAUUACAGAAAAUAACAGAAGCAGAAUAAAAUACAGAAAUGUCUGUAAAUAAUUUUUAAUAAAAAAGCUGAAAUUGUUCACGUCCAUAAGUAUUCUUUGGCAGCAGUUUCAGUCUUUUUGGGUUUAAAACAAAGAGCUUUACACACCUGGAUUGGGGGAUUUUCUGCCCCUCUUCAGGGAAAUCCUCUCUGGCUGGGGCAGGUUGGAUGGGAAGCAUCGUGGACAGACAAUUUCUAGUCUCUCCAGAGAUGUUCAGUAGGGUUCAUCUUGCCGUUUUUCUCGCACCACUCGGUAUUUAAGCAGACUGUUUUUAUUUAUUUAUUUUCUUUUUUUUUUAUUGAAAGACAAAAAAAAUGUACAAUCAUAUAAUGAAAUAUCAUAUAUAUAAUACUGAGAUUUUUUAAUACAUUUUUAAUUCAGCCUUGAAUUGAGAGAUAUCGGGCAUCCUUUCUGACCAUUUAUAUUUGUGUGUAUAGAACUUACCUAAUAAUAUUAACAAAUUUAGCAUAAAAAUAUGACUCUUAUCCAUAUCUUUUUUUAUUCAAAUAAAUAACAGCUUUUUUUGCUUAUCUCAAUUUUAAAACAUUCUCAAAAUUGUUCUUCCAGAAAUGUUUCAGAAACGAAACGUUGCGGGACAAUAAAUCAACCAUCUGAAAAAUGUAUUAUUACAUUUUCUAUCUGUAUCAAUAUCAAUACCAUUUAAUAAGACAAUAUUCAUCAGGAGCUAUUGGAAUACCACAUUUCUGAAGAAUUCAGUAUACAGUAUGUAAGUAAAUAUCCUUCAUUUUUUUAUCAAUUACGAGACCAUUACAUUUUAAAUUUUUAACCCAAUUUUAUAGAAAAUGUAUUUGUUGUUAUAUUUAACAUUUUUAUUAUUCCAUAUUAGUUAGAUAAUGGGUAAAUAUGUUUGUAUAUAAGUACCCAGUAUAAAAUAACCUGUCUAUGAAAAAAUUAGAUAACUGAAUGGGUGGUUUAUUUACUUUAAAAUUACAUUUGAAAAGGAACUCUAUUCCCCCAACUUUUUAAAAAACAUGAUUUGGAGUUAUGUACUGUAUCUUAUUUUAUGUCUAAUGUAAUGUUAAAUUAUGAGGUUUGUUUGUCCAUAUAAAGUUGAAUAGAACUGAGUUGAUUUGUUCAAGAAAAGAUUAUGAGAUAGCGGUUUUGGAUAAAAGAUUCCUACCUUUUGAGUGAUAAAUCCAUCAUGAGACACAUAAUAAAUGUUUUUUUUAAUCAGAUUUUUAUAGCUAUUGAUACCAAGAUAAGUUACUUCUUUCUUUAAUGGAAUACCUUCAAAUUCAGCAAAAGUAAUAUCAUUGUCUUUGAGUGGAAAAGCGUAGAUUUUUUUUUUUAAUAUUUAAAAUUAAACCUGAC